GCCGGGUGUGGUGGUGCGUGCCUGUAAUCCCAGCUUCUUGAGAGGCUGAGGCAGGAGAAUCGCUUGAACCCAGGAGGCAUACGUUGCAGUGAGCUGAGAUUGCACCAUUGCACUCUAGCCUGGGUGACAGAGUGAGAUUCUGUCUCAG
rnacentral:SRP_RNA from 1 species